AACAGCCGCCAGGGAAUUACGAGUCCACCUUAAAACCCAAAGGACUUGACGGUGUCCCACCCACCUAGAGGAGCCUGUUCUAUAAUCGACACCCCCCGAUACACCUCACCACCCCUAGCACACCAGUCUGUAUACCUCCGUCGUAAGCUUACCAUGUGAACGUCACCAGUGAGCCUAAAGAUUUAUCACCAACACGUCAGGUCAAGGUGCAACUAACGGGAUGGAAAGCAAUGGGCUACAAUUUCUACCUUAGAACACACGAAAAACUAUAUGAAACACAGUCAUGAAGGAGGAUUUAGUAGUAAAAAGAAAACAGAGAGUUCUUUUUAAUUAGGCACUGGGACGCGU
rnacentral:rRNA from 1 species